rnacentral:piRNA from 1 species
UGUGUUCUGGUGUUGGACUUGAGGG